AACGAACGCUGGCGGCGCGCCUAAUACAUGCAAGUCGAGCGAGAAGGUGUAGCAAUACACUUGUAAAGCGGCGAACGGGUGAGGAAUACAUGGGUAAUCUACCAUCGAGUGGGGAAUAACCAACCGAAAGGUUGGCUAAUACCGCGUACGCCUCCGAGUCUUCGGGUUCGGAGGGAAAGCUGCACUGUGAGUGUAGCGCUCUUUGAUGAGCUCAUGUCCUAUCAGCUUGUUGGUAGGGUAACGGCCUACCAAGGCUUUGACGGGUAGCUGGUCUGAGAGGACGAUCAGCCACACUGGCACUGCGACACGGGCCAGACUCCUACGGGAGGCAGCAGUAAGGAAUAUUGCGCAAUGGGCGAAAGCCUGACGCAGCGACGCCGCGUGGGGGAUGAAGGUCUUCGGAUUGUAAACCCCUUUCGGGAGGAAGAUGGAGCGAGCAAUCGUUCGGACGGUACCUCCAGAAGCAGCCACGGCCAACUUCGUGCCAGCAGCCG
rnacentral:rRNA from 1 species